rnacentral:rRNA from 1 species
UACGUAGGGUGCGAGCGUUAAUCGGAAUUACUGGGCGUAAAGCGUGCGCAGGCGGUUUUGUAAGACAGAUGUGAAAUCCCCGGGCUCAACCUGGGAACUGCAUUUGUGACUGCAUGGCUAGAGUACGGUAGAGGGGGAUGGAAUUCCGCGUGUAGCAGUGAAAUGCGUAGAUAUGCGGGAGGAACACCGAUGGCGAAGGCAAUCCCCUGGACCUGUACUGACGCUCAUGCACGAAAGCGUGGGGAGCAAACAGG